AGAGUUUGAUCCUGGCUCAGAGCGAACGCUGGCGGCAGGCCUAACACAUGCAAGUCGAACGGACCCUUCGGGGUUAGUGGCGGACGGGUGAGUAACACGUGGGAACGUGCCUUUAGGUUCGGAAUAGCUCCUGGAAACGGGUGGUAAUGCCGAAUGUGCCCUUCGGGGGAAAGAUUUAUCGCCUUUAGAGCGGCCCGCGUCUGAUUAGCUAGUUGGUGGGGUAAUGGCCCACCAAGGCUACGAUCAGUAGCUGGUCUGAGAGGAUGACCAGCCACAUUGGGACUGAGACACGGCCCAAACUCCUACGGGAGGCAGCAGUGGGGAAUCUUGCGCAAUGGGCGAAAGCCUGACGCAGCCAUGCCGCGUGUAUGAUGAAGGUCUUAGGAUUGUAAAAUACUUUCACCGGUGAAGAUAAUGACUGUAGCCGGAGAAGAAGCCCCGGCUAACUUCGUGCCAGCAGCCGCGGUGAUACGAAGGGGGCUAGCGUUGCUCGGAAUUACUGGGCGUAAAGGGAGCGUAGGCGGACAUUUAAGUCAGAGGUGAAAUCCCGGAGCUUAACUUCGGAACUGCCUUUGAUACUGGGUGUCUUGAGUGUGAGAGAGGUAUGUGGAACUCCGAGUGUAGAGGUGAAAUUCGUAGAUAUUCGGAAGAACACCAGUGGCGAAGGCGACAUACUGGCUCAUUACUGACGCUGAGGCUCGAAAGCGUGGGGAGCAAACAGGAUUAGAUACCCUGGUAGUCCACGCCGUAAACGAUGAUUGCUAGUUGUCGGGAAGCUUGCUUCUCGGUGACGCAGCUAA
rnacentral:rRNA from 1 species